rnacentral:lncRNA from 1 species
CUCUCAGCCGUUUCUCGUGCAUGUCCUCGCGCUGGGGAAUGUCAUCCAGAGUGGCCAUAGGAGAGGACACAUCUCCAGAAAAGGACACAUCUCCACCAGGAAAGCUGGCGAUGGGGGAGCAGUCCACUUCCACCAGACACCUACUGCCAGGAAGAGAAAUUCUUCACAGCUCCAGUAAAACACCCAAAGCACUCCAAUUUCAGCCAAGGCUUAUACAAUAUAAUCUCCUCCACACCCCGGGUGCGUGUCAGCAGGCAGCAGUAAUGGGUAUUGUCUGA